rnacentral:rRNA from 1 species
CCUACGGGUGGCAGCAGUGAGGAAUAUUGGUCAAUGGGCGCGAGCCUGAACCAGCCAAGUAGCGUGAAGGAUGACUGCCCUACGGGUUGUAAACUUCUGUUAUAAAGGAAUAAAGUGAGGCACGUGUGCCUUUUUGUAUGUACUUUAUGAAUAAGGAUCGGCUAACUCCGUGCCAGCAGCCGCGGUAAUACGGAGGAUCCGAGCGUUAUCCGGAUUUAUUGGGUUUAAAGGGAGCGUAGAUGGGUUGUUAAGUCAGUUGUGACAGUUUGCGGCUCACCCGUAAAAUUGCAAUUGAUACUGGCAGCCUUGCGUACAGUUGAGUUAGGCGUCAUUCGUGGUGUAGCCG